rnacentral:tRNA from 1 species
CCUCUGUAGUUCAGUCGGUAGAACGGCGGACUGUUAAUCCGUAUGUCACUGGUUCGAGUCAGUCAGAAGGCC